rnacentral:misc_RNA from 1 species
UAUAUGUAUAUGCAAACACUGCAUUGAUUCCUCCCAUAUGACUAUUGUCUUCAACUUAUUUUGCUAGUCUUUGUUAUCUCCCAUAAAACUUUAACAACACCCUCCUCUAAUAACAUUAAGGAUGUUGCUUUCAAAAUUUUGGUUCUUUUGGGAAGGAGUUGCUAGAUCUUUUUUUUUUUUUGCUCUAUUUCCUGUGCAAUUUUCCAUGCAUAUACAUUUCAGGAUAUUCUGCCUACGCUUUAUUUAUGCAGGCUUGGAAUGCAUUAUUCCUGCUAGAUUAUUGUUGAAUUUCUCUUUUGUGCUAGACCUAAUAAGAGCUGAUUGGCACAGGAUGAAGUAUUGAUUGCUGG